AGAACGAACGCUGGCGGCAUGCCUAACACAUGCAAGUCGAACGAGACCUUCGGGUCUAGUGGCGCACGGGUGCGUAACGCGUGGGAAUCUGCCCUUGGGUUCGGGAUAACAGUUGGAAACGACUGCUAAUACCGGAUGAUGACUUCGGUCCAAAGAUUUAUUGCCCAGGGAUGAGCCCGCGUAGGAUUAGCUAGUUGGUGAGGUAAAGGCUCACCAAGGCGACGAUCCUUAGCUGGUCUGAGAGGAUGAUCAGCCACACUGGGACUGAGACACGGCCCAGACUCCUACGGGAGGCAGCAGUGGGGAAUAUUGGACAAUGGGCGAAAGCCUGAUCCAGCAAUGCGCGUGAGUGAUGAAGGCCUUAGGUGUAAAGCUCGUUUACCGGGAUGAUAAUGACAGUACCGGAGAAUAAGCCCCGGCUAACUCCGUGCCAGCAGCCGAC
rnacentral:rRNA from 1 species